AACGAACGCUGGCGGCAUGCCUAACACAUGCAAGUCGAACGAUCCCUUCGGGGAUAGUGGCGCACGGGUGCGUAACGUGUGGGAACCUGCCCUUAGGUUCGGAAUAAUUCAGAUACAUUUGAGCUAAUACCGGAUAAUGUCCUCGGACAACAUAUUUAUCGUAUUUGGAUGGGCACGCGUUGGUUUAGCUUGUUGGUGGGGUAAAGGCCUACCACGGAGUCGAUCCAUAGCUGGUCUGAGAGGAUGAGCAGCCACACUGAGACUGGGACGCGGCCGAGACUACUGCAGGAGGCAGCAAAGGGUAAUAUAGGACAAUGGGCGAAAUGCUGAUCGAGCUAUGCUGCGUGAGUGAUGAAGGCCUGAGAGUUGUGAAGCUCUUUUACCCGGGAUUAUAAUGACGGUACCGAGAGAAUAAGCCCCGGCUAACUCCGUG
rnacentral:rRNA from 1 species